AAUCUGCUUCAAAAACACUACUUGGGAAAAAGGUUAUGUUGUGGAGCUACUAAAUCUACUCCAGUGGCAGCAUUACAAGUAGAAAUGAACGAAAAACCUUUGGACAUGAGGAGAGAUCAACUCUCAGCAGUGUAUUGGGCAAACUUAAAAGGAUCCAAGCAAGGACAUCCAACCCGUCAAGUGCUAAUAAACUGCCAAGAAAAAGAGAAGAAAAAAAUGUAUAGUUUUGGGUGGAUAAUAGGAGAUAUAUGUAUCAAAGCACAAAUUGACAAUAUUAAAGUUAGCCCUACAGUACCAAUUCCUGCAUUACCACCGUGGAUGUAUGAAAACCCAAAAGUAAACAUGCAAUUACUGAAGAAUAGAAAUUUAAAUAGUUAACAGAUAGAACAUUGGAUUGAGGAAAUGUUUUUUGAUAACAUCAUGAUAUUCACAGAUGCAUCAAAAACUAUAAAUAGUAAAGUAAGAGCUGCUGUAGUUAUCCCCCAAGGAAAUAUAGUGUUAAAUAAAAGAAUCAGUGAUAAACUAUCUGUUUUUACCGGGGAAUUGGUAGCAAUUUAUAUGGCAGUUAAUUGGAUAGAGGAAAACAAAGCAAGGAAAGCAGUCGUGUGCUCCGACUCCAGCAGUGCAUUGACGAGCAUAAAAAACAUAGCAUCAGACACAAGACAAGAUAUAAUUUAUGAAAUAGUUCAGGCAAUCUACAGGAUAAAUAAAGCGGGAGGUGUGGUAACAUUUCUCUGGGUUCCUGCUCAUGUAGGAGUUGAGGGAAAUGAGUUAGCUGAUAGAUACGCAAAACAAGCAACCACUAAAACAGAAGUAAAUAUGGAGAUUAAGCACCGUAAAGAAGAAAUGAAGAGCAUAAUUAAGAUAGAACACAAUAAAAAGUGGCAGAAUAAUUGGAAUAAGGAAAUAAAAGGUAGAGAGUUUUACAAAGUCCAGAGGAGAGUAGGUGUCAUGAGAGGAGGGGGUAGAAAUAGGAAAGAAGACAUUAUUACUAGAAUGAGAUUAGGACAUACAUAUCCAAACAGUUCACUAAAAUUGAUAGGAAAACAUACUACAGGGCUGUGUGAUUUUUGCCAUCAAAUAGAGAAUGUUGACCAUGUUUUAAUACAAUGUAGGAAAUACAAUAGAGAAAGAGAAAUACUGGAAAAUAAGUUAGCAAAAGAAAAUAUUAGGUUAGAAGUGGGAAGUAUAUUAGGAUUGCAUUCAGAAAACAUAGGAUACAAAGCAAUAUACACAUAUUUAAAAAACACUGGGUUAACACUCCAUUACAGUAGGUGGCGGUAAUGCACACCAGAAGGUUGCUUGCCAACUGCCAUAAAAACAAAAGAAGAAGAAGAAGAAGAAACAUACAUCCAGUCGACAGCAAUUAAGGUAAUACAACAGCAAACUUCGGCAGCUCUUUCUACAUAUUAUUUUCCAUUCAUCUCUCGCUCAAGCAACGUCUGCCUUUGACCUCUGGCGAAUGAUGGAGCAAUUUGGAAUAAACUGGGCGAAGGAACCUGCCAAAGGAAAACAUCUGCUGGGUGGAGAGGCGGAGCCGACGGCGGGGCAGAGCAAGCUAUAGCCCUGCUCAAGAUGGCGGCAAGGAGGCAGAGAAUGCGGCGCAACGGAGAGGUGGGGCUUGCUGGGAGCGAUGCCGCCACAAUAUAAAUCAGAUGCCUUCGAUGUUCCACUCUGGAUGUGCUGACUCUCCAUCAUUGCUGCCAUCUUCUGCUCCAGCCUCCACAUUUGCUCCCGGUACUUCCUGCGCAUGUGUCGGCUCUUAAUUGGAUGCCUAAGUUGACCAACUUGUCGGAUGAUGUCCUCAUUCUUCUGCUAUCGAGCCUCCUCAGCCCAGCAGAGAACCUUCUUUGACCAAAAUAUCCCUCUUGGCCUGGAGGGAUUCUGCUUUGGUAGAUAGAUGUAUGAUUUCCCAUGUGGGACAGCCAGAUUUGAAUCGGUCUUCCAGCUCAUCUCGGAGACUUUCUGGAAUACACGCUCCAGAUGCUUCUUGGGUCUUUUGCGCCACCAGACUCCAUUCCAGACACCUCAACUCUUUCUCCUUCAGACGGAUGAGGGCACGCAGGUCUGACAUCUCCUCCUAAAAACCCCAGAAUAGGCUUUAGUAGACUUUUGUCCAAGUGCCCGUUAUGUUUAAGAACAGCAUUCCAUGUGCCGUAUUGACUGGAUAAUAAAACGAUCUUAAAUAGAAAACGGGUUUUUGGAACACAAUAACAAAAAUAACCUUUUAAAAAAAAAUUUUUUUUUAAUUCUUUAAUGUCAUUUAAACCAGGAGUUCUUAACUUUUUUGACCUUGAGGUUUCCGAGACCCACUCAAAUAUCAACACUGAAUUAGUAACCUUACUCUUGAUUUUAAACAUAUUCAAUAAUUAUAUCUAUAAAUCAAUUAAUCAACAUUUACUUAUAUAGCCCUUAUUCACAAGUGCCACAACAACAUCCUCUGCUCAGUAAUUUACAUAAAGUUUGUCAUGUGAUCAAAGUCAGUGCCGUAAAUAGGUUUACAUAAAAUAGGGACAUGAAUGGGCCGUUUAUGUGACUUUUUAUCUGAUGAAACAACAUGUUUACACUCAUGUCUUUAUUAAUCUACAGUGGUACCUCAACUUAAAGGGGUCAUACUAUGAUUAUUUUCUACCUUUAAAAUACUUCUUUGUGGUCUACAUAGCAUUUAAUGGUGGUUCUUUGGUCAAAAUUUUGCAUAGGUUUUGUUUUACCGACCAUCUUAAAGCUGUUUCUCACUAUUCCUUCUUAUUUACGUGCCUCCACUUGAACUGCGUCUUCUCUCCGUCAGCCAUGUUGUAAUUUUUAACGCUUCCAUUUGGAGUCUACUGACAGAUUUAAGUUAGAACU